GUAGCAGCCCACCACAUCAAGGAACUGUUCUGCUGAAAAUGCCGAUAGCUGGCUCAUUUGGAAGCAUCGAUCUAGCCACUCAAUCACACGAUCACGCCAAGGACCUCCGUUCUUCUCUCUUCCGUUUCUCAUGCUCAUGUCCUCACCUCUGACGGUAGCAGGGUGGCUGGGACCAUUCAGGGUGAUACAACAAUGUCCAGGGAACAAGAGAAGCCAUAUCUUCUACUUUCUCUUGAGAAAAAAGGAAACCUCCUCAGGAGCUUCCUCGAAGGCUCCCCCUACCACAUCUUACUUGCUCCCUCCUGAACCCGUCCUAGGCCGGGGUGCUGCUCUUAAGUCACACAGACGCUAUUCUGGAGCAGGAUGGGCAACAUGGCCUGCUUCAAGUGGAAUUCCAGAGAGGGCUGCAAUGGGGCUCAGACGGUGGACUGUGCCAGCGUGCUUCGUCUCAAAUCCUGGCUCAGCAGUUUGCUACCUGGGUAGAAAGGGGAAGUUUGAGAGGUCUUCCAGCAUCUUCUCAAUUGCUUCCAGCUCAAAAUAAUCAACAUGCCAAAAUGGCAUAUUUUGGGGUCACGUGUUCUGAUCCCCUUCAAUUCCCUAUCUGAAACUUCAUAGGAAGCGUCACAUAUUAAAAGCUGACUUGGUGGAUGUGAAGAGAAAAACUGAAUCAGUAGCUGAAUGGUAAGAGAUUUGCAAAAGGAGAGAAGAAGAUGGAUUAGAACAAGGAUAAACAAACAGAACAACUACAACAACAAAACUCAACAUACUUCUCCUUAUACCAUUAAACCAGUCUCCCUAUCCUGGGAAUAGGCCAGUCCAAUCAAAUGGUUGAGACUCAUUGAUCUGAUGGAGUGUUAACUUCCUGUUUUUAAAGAUACGAAUUAAACACCAUUUGUCCUAUCUGAUUCACACAGAAGCAGAAUUUUUCACCAAUGAUUGUGCAAGCUCCUUCUUGUUGGGCAGUCAGUGUAUCCAGGGCACAACUAUUUUGGAGUACAACAGUGGCUAAACUAUUCAUUUCUGACUGGAAUACUUCCAAUGUUUGCAUAGUGGUAUUGAACUCUGGUUCUAUUACCAUGGGAAGAUUUAGGAUCACCUUUUCCAAACCAUGAAUUGUAAAACUUGGAAAUAAGGUCCUUGACAUUGAAAAGAACUUGGAGUGAGGAUAUAGUGGGUAUUCUAUGACAUCUCAUCUGGUAUGUUUAUGUGGUACUACUAUAUGAAUGAAGGAGCCCAAGUUUGUAAUUUGGCUGGUAUUCAAGGUGGAGUACGUGGUGAUGGAAGGUCCCAGAUAUCUGAGUCCAAACUGUCCUGACCUUUUAAGUGAAAACCCUUUACAUGCCUUGUUGCCGCAUAAAAUAAAAAGAGAGAAAAAGACCAGUGCUGUUCAUGGUCAAAGUCAGAGUGGAACCUGCAAUUCUCCAGAUCUAAUGUGUUUCAUGACCCUUGUCUUUGGUCAUACUGGGAUCUGCAUACCUCCAUGUGCCCCUGGAAGAGCAGAACUGGUUGCCAAAUAUCUAACACAGCAGGCCUGCAAUCUGGGUCUGGAAGCUCUAAGGCCUGGUUUUGUUACUUAGCCAAGUUAUUCCAGGUUUUUGGUCUACUCAUUCAUAAUUUUUGAUGUCGAGCAUUCGAACUGGGGAGCACCUGAACUAUCUCAGGCUGUGCAAGCGUGGCCUAGGAAACAGCUGAAACAUUUGGUAAUUUGGCAAAUGUUUGUGCUUAAAAGGCAGUGCUGGAACCACUUAUGACUUCCAUGAGGGGUUUGAGAAUGCUAUCUAUGGAAUCCGACUACAGAGUUUGAGUGUAACAUUGCCUCGGCAUAUCACCUAGGAAGGGUCCAGGACCAUUUCUCUUUUCAAUGCAAGGGGGAAAAUUCCUUUCCAAUGACUUCACCUGAAUUGUUUGACAUUUCCCAGCCCAGACUCCAGACCUGGUGAUCAGAUGAUCCCAGCCCCAGCCUUCAAACCACUGCAAAUAGAGAAGAGACAAGCUAUUCCUGAGAGAGCCCUGCCCAAUCUACAGAUUAAUAAAGAAAAUAAAUACUGUUGUUAUUUUUAAAGACAGCCCUGUUUGAGGUGGCUUGUUAUGCAGCAAUAGGUAACACGAACAAACGGUAAAGCUUGGAGCCUCUGAA